rnacentral:rRNA from 1 species
ACUCCUACGGGAGGCAGCAGUGGGGGAUAUUGCACAAUGGGCGCAAGCCUGAUGCAGCGACGCCGCGUGGGGGAUGGAGGCUUUCGGGUUGUAAACCCCUUUCGGCGCGGGACAAGGCUCCGUUUGGCGGGGUUGAGGGUACGCGUCAAAGAAGCGCCGGCUAACUACGUGCCAGCAGCCGCGGUAAUACGUAGGGCGCGAGCGUUGUCCGGAAUUAUUGGGCGUAAAGGGCUCGUAGGCGGCUUGUCGCGUCUGCUGUGAAAACGCGGGGCUCAACUCCGCGCGUGCAGUGGGUACGGGCAGGCUGGAGUGCGGCAGGGGUGGCUGGAAUUCCUGGUGUAGCGGUGGAAUGCGCAGAUAUCAGGAAGAACACCGAUGGCGAAGGCAGGCCACUGGGCCGUCACUGACGCUGAGGAGCGAAAGCGUGGGGAGCGAACAGG